AAAUUGAAGAGUUUGAUCAUGGCUCAGAUUGAACGCUGGCGGCAGGCCUAACACAUGCAAGUCGAACGGUAACAGGAAGCAGCUUGCUGCUUUGCUGACGAGUGGCGGACGGGUGAGUAAUGUCUGGGAAACUGCCUGAUGGAGGGGGAUAACUACUGGAAACGGUGGCUAAUACCGCAUAACGUCGCAAGACCAAAGAGGGGGACCUUCGGGCCUCUUGCCAUCAGAUGUGCCCAGAUGGGAUUAGCUAGUUGGUGAGGUAACGGCUCACCAAGGCGACGAUCCCUAGCUGGUCUGAGAGGAUGACCAGCCACACUGGAACUGAGACACGGUCCAGACUCCUACGGGAGGCAGCAGUGGGGAAUAUUGCACAAUGGGCGCAAGCCUGAUGCAGCCAUGCCGCGUGUAUGAAGAAGGCCUUCGGGUUGUAAAGUACUUUCAGCGGGGAGGAAGGUGUUGUGGUUAAUAACCGCAGCAAUUGACGUUACCCGCAGAAGAAGCACCGGCUAACUCCGUGCCAGCAGCCGCGGUAAUACGGAGGGUGCAAGCGUUAAUCGGAAUUACUGGGCGUAAAGCGCACGCAGGCGGUCUGUCAAGUCGGAUGUGAAAUCCCCGGGCUCAACCUGGGAACUGCAUUCGAAACUGGCAGGCUUGAGUCUUGUAGAGGGGGGUAGAAUUCCAGGUGUAGCGGUGAAAUGCGUAGAGAUCUGGAGGAAUACCGGUGGCGAAGGCGGCUCCCUGGACAAAGACUGACGCUCAGGUGCGAAAGCGUGGGGAGCAAACAGGAUUAGAUACCCUGGUAGUCCACGCCGUAAACGAUGUCUACUUGGAGGUUGUGCCCUUGAGGCGUGGCUUCCGGAGCUAACGCGUUAAGUAGACCGCCUGGGGAGUACGGCCGCAAGGUUAAAACUCAAAUGAAUUGACGGGGGCCCGCACAAGCGGUGGAGCAUGUGGUUUAAUUCGAUGCAACGCGAAGAACCUUACCUGGUCUUGACAUCCACGGAAGUUUUCAGAGAUGAGAAUGUGCCUUCGGGAACCGUGAGACAGGUGCUGCAUGGCUGUCGUCAGCUCGUGUUGUGAAAUGUUGGGUUAAGUCCCGCAACGAGCGCAACCCUUAUCCUUUGUUGCCAGCGAUUAGGUCGGGAACUCAAAGGAGACUGCCAGUGAUAAACUGGAGGAAGGUGGGGAUGACGUCAAGUCAUCAUGGCCCUUACGACCAGGGCUACACACGUGCUACAAUGGCGCAUACAAAGAGAAGCGACCUCGCGAGAGCAAGCGGACCUCAUAAAGUGCGUCGUAGUCCGGAUUGGAGUCUGCAACUCGACUCCAUGAAGUCGGAAUCGCUAGUAAUCGUGGAUCAGAAUGCCACGGUGAAUACGUUCCCGGGCCUUGUACACACCGCCCGUCACACCAUGGGAGUGGGUUGCAAAAGAAGUAGGUAGCUUAACCUUCGGGAGGGCGCUUACCACUUUGUGAUUCAUGACUGGGGUGAAGUCGUAACAAGGUAACCGUAGGGGAACCUGCGGUUGGAUCACCUCCUUA
rnacentral:rRNA from 1 species